rnacentral:tRNA from 1 species
UUCAUAGCUCAGCUGGCAGAGCGCCCGGCUGUUAACCGGCAGGUCGCAGGUUCGAAUCCUGCUGUUCC